AGUGAACGCUGGCGGUAGGCCUAACACAUGCAAGUCGAACGGCAGCACAGUAAGAGCUUGCUCUUACGGGUGGCGCGUGGCGGACGGGUGAGGAAUACAUCGGAAUCUACUUUUUCGUGGGGGAUAACGUAGGGAAACUUACGCUAAUACCGCAUACGACCUACGGGUGAAAGCAGGGGAUCUUCGGACCUUGCGCGAUUGAAUGAGCCGAUGUCGGAUUAGCUAGUUGGCGGGGUAAAGGCCCACCAAGGCGACGAUCCGUAGCUGGUCUGAGAGGAUGAUCAGCCACACUGGAACUGAGACACGGUCCAGACUCCUACGGGAGGCAGCAGUGGGGAAUAUUGGACAAUGGGCGCAAGCCUGAUCCAGCCAUACCGCGUGGGUGAAGAAGGCCUUCGGGUUGUAAAGCCCUUUUGUUGGGAAAGAAAAGCAGCAGGUUAAUACCCCGCUGUUCUGACGGUACCCAAAGAAUAAGCUCCGGCUAACUUCGUG
rnacentral:rRNA from 1 species